ensembl:lncRNA
CCAGCAGAGGGAAACGGAGUGAAGAGAAAGAACAGGAACAAGACAUAAUAUGACAAUACAUGACACUAUAACUGAUUCAAGUAUUUUUAGCCAGACCCUAACUGGUAUGUUGAAUUUGAUGUUCCUUUUGAUGGCAUAGAAGGCCCUUCUUGCCUUGUCUCUCAGAUUGUUCAAAGCUUUGUGGAAGUUACCUGUUGCGCUGAUGUUUAGACCGAGGUAUGUAGUAUAGUUUGUGUGCUGUAGGGCAACGGUGUCUAGAUGGAAUUUGUAUUUGUGGUCCUGGCGACUGGACCUUUUAUGGAACACCAUUAUUUUUUGUCUUACUGAGAUUUACUGUCAGGGCCCAGGUCCGACAGAAUCUGUGCAUAAGAUCUAGGUGCUGCUGUAGGCCCUCCUUGGUUGGUGACAGAAGCACCAGAUGUCGUCUGGAGAUAGAGAGGAGGACCAAGAUGCGGCAUGAUAAAAUGAAGUGUUUCCAACUGAUAAAAUUAUCAUCAGACCAUGAUUCUAGACUACUAUCAUCAUCAUCAACACCACCACCACUAUCAUCACCAUCACCACCAGUAGAAGGGGAUUCAGGUUCAGCAGACUCUCUUUUUCAGGAACUACAGAACUAAGAUAAGAA